GUCGAACGGUCUCUUCGGAGAUAGUGGCGGACGGGUGAGUAACGCGUGAGAAUCUGCCUUUAGGUUCGGGACAACAGUUGGAAACGACUGCUAAUACCGAAUGUGUCGUAAGAUGAAAGAUUUAUCGCCUAAAGAUGAGCUCGCGUCUGAUUAGCUAGUUGGUGAGGUAAAAGCUUACCAAGGCGACGAUCAGUAGCUGGUCUGAGAGGAUGAUCAGCCACAUUGGGACUGAGACACGGCCCAAACUCCUACGGGAGGCAGCAGUGGGGAAUUUUCCGCAAUGGGCGAAAGCCUGACGGAGCAACGCCGCGUGAGGGAGGAAGGCUCUUGGGUUGUAAACCUCUUUUCUCAAGGAAGAUAAUGGCGGUACUUGAGGAAUCAGCAUCGGCUAACUCCGUGCCAGCAGCCGCGGUAAUACGGAGGAUGCAAGCGUUAUCCGGAAUAAUUGGGCGUAAAGCGUUCGUAGGUGGUUUUGUAAGUCUGCUGUUAAAGCGUGUAGCUCAACUACAUAAUGGCGGUGGAAACUACAAGACUUGAGUGCGUUCGGGGUAGGGGGAAUUCCUGGUGUAGCGGUGAAAUGCGUAGAGAUCAGGAAGAACACCGGUGGCGAAGGCGCUCUACUAGGCCGCAACUGACACUGAGGGACGAAAGCUAGGGGAGCGAAUGGGAUUAGAUACCCCAGUAGUCCUAGCUGUAAACGAUGGAUACUAGGCGUUGUCUGUAUCGACCCGGACAGUGCCGUAGCUAACGCGUUAAGUAUCCCGCCUGGGGAGUACGCACGCAAGUGUGAAACUCAAAGGAAUUGGCGGGGGCCCGCACAAGCGGUGGAGUAUGUGGUUUAAUUCGAUGCAACGCGAAGAACCUUACCAAGGCUUGACAUGUCCGGAAUUUCCGUGAAAGCGGGAAGUGCCUUCGGGAGCCGGAACACAGGUGGUGCAUGGCCGUCGUCAGCUCGUGUCGUGUGAUGUUGGGUUAAGUCCCGCAACGAGCGCAACCCUCGUCCUUAGUUGCCAGCAUUUCGGGUGGGCACUUUAGGGAGACUGCCGGUGACAAACCGGAGGAAGGUGGGGAUGACGUCAAGUCAUCAUGCCCCUUACGUCUUGGGCUACACACGUACUACAAUGCUAUGGACAAAGAGCAGCCAGCUAGCGAUAGUGCGCUAAUCUCAUAAACCAUGGCUCAGUUCAGAUUGCAGGCUGCAACUCGCCUGCAUGAAGUAGGAAUCGCUAGUAAUUGCAGGUCAGCAUACUGCAGUGAAUUCGUUCCCGGGCCUUGUACACACCGCCCGUCACACCAUGGAAGUUGGUCACGCCCGAAGUCGUUACCCUAACCGCUUGCGGAGGGGGACGCCGAAGGUAGGACUGAUGACUGGGGUGAAGUCGUAACAAGGUAGCCGUACCGGAAGGUGUGGCUGGAUCACCUCCUUUUUAGGGA
rnacentral:rRNA from 1 species